rnacentral:sRNA from 1 species
UUUUCGAGCAGCGCUAUCCGGGACGAACUUGCGUUUUAGUGACGCAUAGUGUGUAUGUAGUAAAAAAUUACAGCAAUAAAUACGAACAAUAAAAUGGAUUCGUUUAAUAUUUUGCACUAAAUACGAACUUGUCUCUACUAUUUGAUAGUAAUAACUUGAAAUUGCGACUUAAACAGCGUAUUUGCUUUUUACGACUUAUUGUUAGCGUUUUAGACCAUACCCGGAAUUAUCGUAAAUACGUGAGAGCAGCGAAUGUCCUUAAGCCGUCAGUAUUUUUACUAAUAAGUCCAAGGCAGCAAAUCGAUGUGUGGAUUUUUUAUUUCUGUUUCUAUCUUUGGAUAAAUGUUAAGUUUUCCUCUUCUCUGGUUUUGACCUGUUUUCUCUGGUUAUGUUCAUUGUAUUUAGGUUGAAUUCUCUUCCCAACUGCUUAUUUUAUCACGUAACGUCGUCGGCUUAAAUUCGUUAUUACUAGCGUUGUUUUGACCCGGAAACUUACGCUCCUCACAGCGAUCCAAUUAAACUACCGUUACAUUUUACUCGCUGCUGGUUAUACCAGUGUAUUUUUGAUAUUUAUCAUUCAGCCAAUGAUACAGUCGCUGGAAGCAAAAUCACUGCUUUUCCUGAUACGCAGAUUUUCAUUGGCCAGUUUGAACUAAAUAUAGACUGAUACGUAAUAAAAUAAGCAGUUGGGUAGA